UACGUAGGGGGCAAGCGUUGUUCGGAAUUACUGGGCGUAAAGGGCGCGUAGGCGGCACGGCAAGUCAGGAGUGAAAGGCCUGGGCUCAACCGAGGAACUGCUUUUGAGACUGACGAGCUAGAGUGCAGUAGGGGUAGAGGGAAUUCCCGGUGUAGCGGUGAAAUGCGUAGAGCUCGGGAAGAACAUCGGUGGCGAAAGCGCUCUACUGGACUGCAACUGACACUCAGGGACGAAAGCUAGGGGAGCGAAUGGG
rnacentral:rRNA from 1 species